AAAGGACCUUCCCCUCUUCUCUUCCCCCUCACCCCCACAAAAAAAAAGAGAAAAAAAAGGAAGUGUGCUUUGUCACCAAUUGCACAAUGAAUCACAUUUCAGAAUUAGCAUCAGCUUCCUGUUUAUCUUGGAGGGCAAACUUACAGCACUGCACUGUUCUUGGUGAUGCCUACUUAGUCUGUGUUCACUGAUAGCCCAUUGUUGUGGCACACACAUGAAAGAAAAAAAAGGAAGGAUUUCAGGGAGAAGAACUGAACAUUGGGGUGAUAAUUUUAGUUUCUCACCUAAUAGAGAAAGUUGCUUCAGGUAAAAACUUCAAUUCCAUUGUAUAUUGUUAUGGUCAGAUUUUAUGAAAAUACGCAAGCUAAAUUAAGUAAUCAGUUAUGAAGUCUCACAGCCUGCCUGUCUGCAGUCUGACACACUGCAGCACAAGGACAGAAAGGGGCCUGUGCAGGUAAACGCAUGGCACCGCCAGAAAGAAGGACCUGGUCAUUCUGUGUUACUGUCAGUUGUUCUUACUGUCAAGUGAUAAUAAUUUCUUGAGGAAAUCAACUGAAAAUCUAUAAUUUUGCCAAAAACAGGAGAAUUCCUAUGCCCAGGCUUGACGCUUGUUGCUGAUUUUCCUUAUCUUGUCACCUCUCCAUAGGUAAAAUCAUGAUGAAGAAUAACUUUUAUGAUGCAGUGACUUGUCUCUCACAGCUGUUACACCGUGGACCUGAUCAAAGCAAAACUUCAGAUAGAGCCCCACCACGAGAGCAUGCUACUGGGCAGCACGGAGCUCCACAGCACACCCACUGAGCAGCCAAAGGCAGAAGGCAGCCAGCUGGAACACACGGCAGACACUCAGCCCAUCAGCACAGAGCAGAGGUCAGGCAGAAAACUCUAUGCAACAGCGUGUUCAUGCUUGGAAGGGAGAGAAGACAACAGAAGAAAGGGGUGAAGAGAGAAGAUCAAAGGUUUCUUGCUGAGAAAUACGGCUAUUACCCAAUUAAUGUCUGAGAUGUUAAGGAGGCAUGCAGUUGCAGCCAUGAAAUGAUUAAGUAGAGGCAUUUACCAGCCAUGUGUAUUUAAAGUAGGAAGCUUUCUGAGUAACAUCGAGGAGGAGCUUUAAAGUCAACAAGCAUUCCACUUCCUUAACAGCAAACUGCUGUUUGAAACUACUAUGAAAAAGUACGGGCUCUAUGCAGAUGUUCCCUGCACAGAAACAGAAUGAAGGCAGAGAGCUACAAGCAGCAUUUUUUCCCCAGGAGAUAUGAAAGCCCCAUAGCUACACCACAGUUCUCACAAGGUUUUUUUUCCACUUAAGUGUGGGGGCAGAGAUGAGGCAAACAGCAGAGCAGGCUGUGUGCACUGCACAGAAUGAGUGAAGCUCCUCAGAAAUGUUUCCUCCCUGGCCUAUGCGUCCACAUAGCCUAACUUGAAUCCUCUGGAUAGAGCCUUCCCGCAAUAGUAAGAUGACUGGUUUUUUGACCCCUAAAAACACACAGGUGAAGACACUGCUAUCUCAGGAUUUCUCAUUUUUCUUUAAGCAGAUCUAUGGCAUCGGCUAUUCACUUUACAUUGGAGGAAUUAAAAGACAAUUGCAUCUGUAGAAACAGCUCGUGGUACAAAACCUGGAGGAAGAGCAUGGCGAUACAUGCAAUUGUCUCCGCCGCCUGGACAGACCCAAAACCAUCCGUAUUUGUUGUUUUCAAUAGCAUCAAGAAAAUAUUUGCAGACCUGCAUAAAACAACAGUUGUCAGUACUGUAUUCUCAUCCCCAGCAAUUUACACUAGCACAGCUACUACAUGCCCAAAGUACAGUAAUUCAAAGCCAGCUGUGGUCAAAAGUGAAUAAACGUGCCAUGCACUCCAUUACAAACAGUAGAUAUAAAAAGAGCAACUAACUAUCUAAAACCUCAAAUACUCAACAGCUUUCGCCCUUAAUAUAAUCUCAACUUAGGCUGACUUGAAAGACUAGUGACUGCACUACAGUAAACCCAGCAGCACAUGUAAAAGAAUGUUAAGGGUUUAUGUUUGGUCAUGAAAAUCGAGUGUACUUUUAAUCAAAAUAAACAAUUUCAGAUGUUUCAUGUUCCAACUCA